rnacentral:sRNA from 1 species
GGUAAGCAGCAGCAGCAGCAGCAGCAGCAGCAGCUGCAGCAGCAGCAGCAGCAGUGGAAGCAGGUGCUGCAGCAGCAGCAGAAGCGGCGGCGGCAGCAGCUCUGCUGCAGCUGCUGCAGCAGAAGCUGCAGCAGCAGCAGCAGAUGCUGCAGCAGCAACGGAUGGGGUUUUGGGCCUAUGUAUACGUUUGCCCCCUUUGUGCUUUGAAUUGAAUUUUCUGCUGCUGCUGCUGCUGCUGUAGCUGCUGCUGCUGUAGCUGCUGCUGCUGUAGCUGCUGCUGCUGUAGCUGCUGCUGCUGGUGCUGCUUGUUUUAUUU